rnacentral:rRNA from 1 species
AAUGAACGCUAGCGGCAGGCUUAAUACAUGCAAGUCGAGGGACAGCACAGGUAGCAAUACUGGGUGGUAACCGGCAAACGGGUGCGGAACACGUACACAACCUUCCUUUAAGUGGGGGAUAGCCCAGAGAAAUUUGGAUUAAUACCCCGUAAUAUAGUUGAAUGGCAUCAUUUGAUUAUUAUAGCUACGGCGCUUAAUGAUGGGUGUGCGGCUGAUUAGAUAGUUGGCGGGGUAACGGCCCACCAAGUCUACGAUCAGUAGCUGAUGUGAGAGCAUGAUCAGCCACACGUGCACUGAGACACGGGCCCGACUCCUACGGGAGGCAGCAGUAAGGAAUAUUGGUCAAUGGACGCAAGUCUGAACCAGCCAUGCCGCGUGAAGGAUUAAGGUCCUCUGGAUUGUAAACUUCUUUUAUUUGGGACGAAAAAGGGCCUUUCUAGGUCAACUGACGGUACCAGAUGAAUAAGCACCGGCUAACUCCGUGCCAGCCGCCGCAGUAAGAC